AUGUAAGACACAAAUGACAGCUGU
rnacentral:piRNA from 1 species